rnacentral:lncRNA from 1 species
GCAUUCCAAUGCAAUCUAAAGAAUGCCCACCAUGUCCGAGGCUCUGUGAGGGCCAGAAUAUGAGCUGUGCUGGAGAAACGGUUACAAACACACAAGGAGAUGGCAAAUGAAAACUUCUGCCAAACUCAGGAAGCCAGCUGAGGAUGAAAAACAGCAAUACACAGACCAAGGCCAUAUUGAAUGAACAACUUUACGCUUUCACAACACUCCAAACAAGUUAGUUAAUGUUGGAAAACCCAGCCCAAGAAAUUCAAGCUGCUACUAUGAUGUAUUUUAUAGGUUGAUGUCCUGCAGGUCAGGACAACUGGUGCCCAAAGUGAGGCUGGAUAGAGUUGGGGAUCUGGGAACUUCAGUGCUCAUUAGAGGGACGGCCUGUCCAUGCAGUGAGGCGUCCAAGACAAGGUCUAUUGUGAGCCUCGGUUGGAGGAAGACCCAGCAGCCUGCCCAGCACUUGGGACUUUCGGUUCAUGAGCACCAACUACAUGGAAAAGAAGAGAAUCUUUCAGCACUAUGUUGCUAUCCAGGAGGAAUGAAGCCUCCAGUUGAACACCAGCUCAACUUCUCCAUGUUCUAUAAUUUUGUCUGGUGGAAAUGCGGCUGGAGAGAAGCAGGAAACAGGACACAAGAGAGUGAGACGGAGCAAGGAGCUACAAAGCUGCUAACACAUGUUCUGGAAUGCAGAUGGUGAUCUUCUCUCCAAAGAAGACUUGCUUCAAUGACAUCUCCCUUCUUUGUGCUCACUUGGUGCUUCUCAUGAAAUUAGCAAGGAUCUAAGAACAUUGAACUUAAUUAUUCAAGUAUUAUCUUCACCUAAAGACGUCUCUUUUUUGGCGGGAGGGGGGUAGAUUGUUAGAGUAAUGCUGAUUCAUUAAGUCAAUAGUUUAAUGAGUCCUCUAUGUACUAAGUACUUUCUUUAAAAUUUGAAACUACAACAUUUAAUAAAAUAGACUAUAUAUCUAUAUAGAUAUAGGUAUCUGCAUUUUUGGGACAGUGUUUCUCUGUAUAGCCUGGACUAUCCUGGAACUCAUUGAUCUAUAGGCCAGGCUGGCCUCUAACUCAGAGAUCUGUCUGCCUCUUUCUACUGAGUACUGGGAUUAAAGGUGUGCGCCACCACUGCCUGACUGAUAGAUGUAUAUUUUAAACUUUUCGAAGGUUACAAUUUUUAAAGACAAG